rnacentral:rRNA from 1 species
UACGUAGGGUGCGAGCGUUGUCCGGAAUUAUUGGGCGUAAAGAGCUCGUAGGCGGUGUGUCACGUCGAUCGUGAAAACUUGGGGCUUAACUCUGAGCUUGCGGUCGAUACGGGCAUCACUGGAGUUCGGCAGGGGAGACUGGAAUUCCUGGUGUAGCGGUGAAAUGCGCAGAUAUCAGGAGGAACACCGGUGGCGAAGGCGGCUCUCUAGUACGGUACUGACGCUGAGACGCGAAAGCGUGGGGAGCGAACAGG